CUGCGAGUACGUUAUCGCUGCAAAUGUUGUCGAUUGUAAAUCAACGUUUUAUCGUGCCGUUCGGAUUCUUCUAAUUCGAUUCUUCCGAUAGAAAAAAAGCAUUUGUGGGUUUCGUAAUGGACAAAGACGAGUAAGUCUGCACACUUCAUUUGCGGUUCAGGAAUUCCUGCCCUGGUACGUGCUGCGUUCCCUGUGGUUAACAACCGUACGUAUUACAAAUCUUCUUGGAAGCAUUAGCAUAAAUGAGUCAGCACUUAAGAUGAAACCUGC